UCUAUUAUGGACGAUACAUUGAUGACAUCUUCUCAAUUUUCCGGUCUGAUACUGCAGCAUCACAUUUUAGAACAUGGAUUAAUACCAUACAUGACCACAUUAAAUUUACAGAUACAUGUGACCGUAAUAAGAUCAAUUUUUUAGAUGUGUGUGUAUUCAGGAAAUCAAAUAGACUUUACGUCAAAAACUACACCAAACCUACUGAUAGAAACUCCUUAUUACACUUUAACAGUUUCCACCAUCACUCUUUGAAAUCUAACUUACCAUACAAUCAACUAUUAAGAUUAAAACGCAACACCAGCCUACAGGAAGACUUCGAAUCUAUCAUAGACCCCUUCAAACAGGCACUGAAGAUGAGGGGAUACCCUGAAAGAAUUGUAGACUCAGCAGUCAAAAGAGCUCAAAGGGUCAAUAGAAGUGUCCUACUACAAGAACAAACUAAGCCUAGUAAGGAUCGUAUCAUCUGGCCACUUACACUCACACCACUAUCAUCCAAAAUUAAGAAUAUCGUCAAUAGACAUUGGCAUCUAAUACACGAGAUCCACGGCUGUGAAAAACCACCUAUGGUAGCCCACAAAAGAUCUAGAAAUUUCAGAAACUUUCUAGUACAUGCAGAUCUCAUUACUCCCACUACUACAGUAAGCCUAAACAAAAAAGGACAUUAUCCAUGUGGCCAUUGUAACUGUUGUAAGCAAUCCCUAAGAAUUCAAGAUGAUAUAUACCCCAUACUCCAUCUUCACAUCACAUUAAGACACUUUACUACAUGUGCAUCUGAAAAUGUCAUAUAUUUGAUUAUAUGUCCAUGUAAAUUGUUAUAUGUAGGGAUGACCUCUAGGGCAUUGAGAACAAGGAUACAAGAACACAAAUCCAGAAUCAGGAAUGGAUGCACAGACUCUACUCUAUACACACAUUUUCAAGAAAAAGCUCAUUCUGAUGAGAGUUUUAAGUUCUUUGUGAUAGAGAAGGUAAAACCCAUUGGAGACAAUAAAAGACUUCUUCUACAAAGGGAGUCUUUCUGGACCUUUAAAUUAAACUCUGUAUUCCCCAAAGGACUGAAUGAUAGGAUUGAUUUCACCUGUUAUCUUUAGUGAAUUGAGUAUUUCAGUUCACCAUGCAAGCCAUAGGGCACUUGCAACUUGAGAAAAAAACACAGAGCCCUGCAAGAGUAACGACGUAAAUUGACUACAUUGAAAAGCCUUGAACUGAAGCAGGACCAAGCAAGUAAUUAAGAUUAAAGAGACAGCAAUAAAUCCACAACAUACCGCAGAAGAUUCUGAGAAUCUCAGUAAGAAGAAAAAUACCAUACAUCAAAAGACUAUUUAAGACCUUACAUAAAUAACAACAACCUGAAGAAGGACUUCCCGAAACGAGGCAGUGUACCCGGGAUUACUUGUUGUUGCAUAGUUUUGUUCUACAUACACACAACAGCUGUGGACUGUUUUCCGUUGAGUUUGAUGUAUGCUUUACUUUAUAUGUUACUCAAUAAGGUUGUAUAAUUGUAUAUAUACCAUAAUUGUGGACUGUUUUCAGUUGGAGGUUUAUGUGUGUUUUGCUUUAUAUGUUUCACAAUAAGUUAGUACCCGGUUGGGACUGUAAAGAAAAUACUCUAUAUACUAGCAUACCACAAUACACACGCUAAAACCUA